UACGUAGGGGGCAAGCGUUGUCCGGAUUUAUUGGGCGUAAAGAGCGUGUAGGCGGCCAUACAGGUCAGCUGUGAAAACUCGAGGCUCAACCUCGAGACGUCGGUUGAAACCGUAUGGCUAGAGUCCGGAAGAGGAGAGUGGAAUUCCCGGUGUAGCGGUGAAAUGCGCAGAUAUCGGGAAGAACUCCGGCGGCGAAAGCGGUGCACUGGUGGAUUACUGACGCUGAGGUGCGAAAGCCAGGGGAGCAAACGGG
rnacentral:rRNA from 1 species